rnacentral:lncRNA from 1 species
UCCAGUCACUGGCAGCAGAGAACUGGAAGGAAAGGCGGCCAAAUGAGGUGUUGGCUUUGGGGAUGACCAGUGAGAUAUACCUGCUGGAACGUGUGCUACGUUUGGUGGGUGUUGUUAUCGUGACCAGUGAACUGAGAUAAGGCGGAGCUUUACCUAGCAUAGACUUAUAGAUGACCUGGAGCCAGUGGGUCUGACGACUUGAGCAUACAGGUCGCAGAGGUGGGUGGUAUAAGGUGAUUUGGUAACAAAACGGAUGGCACUGUGAUAGACUGCAUCCAGUUUGCUGAGUAGAGUAUUGGAAGCUAUUUUGUAGAUGACAUCGCCAAAGUCGAGGAUCGGUAGGAUAGUCCGUUUUACUAGGGUAAGUUUGGCGGCGUGAGUGAAGGAGGCUUUGUUGUGAAAUAGAAAGCCGAUUCUAGAUUUGAUUUUGGAUUGGAGAUGUUUAAUAUGAGUCUGGAAGGAGAGUUUACAGUCUAGUAGCCAUACCUACCUAUGCCAGAGACCUGGUGCCAGGUGAGCCAUCUUGGGUCCAACUCCAGGUAGUCGUACCAGGCCCUCCACUGUGUUAGAGAUGUCCCCUCUAAACUCGAUACACCCAGUCACUACAAAGAUGCAGGCGUCCUUCCCAACUCAGUUGCCAGUGAGGAAGGAAGCUGCUCAGGGAUUUUACCAUCAGGCCAAUGGUGACUUUAAAACAGUUACAGAGUUGAAUGGCUGUGAUAGGAGGGGAUUGAUUCAAUUAUCUGUCCUGCGUCAAAACAAAGUGAUGUAGGUCAAAUCAAAUCAAACUUUAUUUGUCACAUGCGCCGAAUACAACAAGUGUAGACUUUACCGUGAAAUGCUUACUUACAAGCCCGUAAUUAACCAACAGUGCAGUUCAAGAAGAAGAAGAACAUAUUUACCAAGUAGACUAUAAUAAAAAGUAACACAAUAAGAAUAACAAUAACGAGGCUAUAUACAGGGGGCACCGGUACCGAGCCCACAGGCUAGUUGAGGUCAUCAACAUGUAGGUGGGGGCGAAGUGACUAAGCAUAGCAGGUGCGAGCGCUUAGUAAUUAGAAAAAAGUCCGGAACUAAGGAUAUUUAUAGGGACAUGACCGACGGGGGAUAUUUACUUUCGACUGAGUCCACAAACAAUCCGCUGUGGUGAGUAUGCCUUGGUCACAGGUGCUAUAGCAACUUGUGGCGCAAUCUUAU